rnacentral:rRNA from 1 species
UACGGAGGGUGCAAACGUUGCUCGGAAUCAUUGGGCGUAAAGCGCACGUAGGUGGUCUGUUAAGUCUGAUGUGAAAGCCCUGGGCUCAACCCAGGAAGUGCAUCGGAAACUGGCAGGCUUGAGUAUGGAAGAGGGUCGCGGAAUUCCCGGUGUAGAGGUGAAAUUCGUAGAUAUCGGGAGGAACACCAGUGGCGAAGGCGGCGACCUGGACCAAUACUGACACUGAGGUGCGAAAGCGUGGGGAGCAAACAGG